rnacentral:lncRNA from 1 species
GAUGACAACAGGGAGGAGGGCAUCGUAUCUACCUGAGGAUCGGCCACGGCCUUUUCCUGGAGGAGACAGAGGACUCUGAAGAUUGAACAGAGGACCUGAAGGGAGAAACUGACAAACCCAUGGGCCUCUAAGCUUUGGGCAACACCAACUCCGGGAUGUUUGGGAGGACAAGGACCACGCCAAGGAUUGGUUCCUCCACCCCAACCACCACACAUAAGAGGCAAGCAGGGUACAAGAUGGCGUCUGCUGGCCACAGAGACCUCCAGGCUUGUGCAUCUUCCUGUGAGCGACCAGUACAUUGGAUUGUUGUGGUUUUCAUUUUUGCCCCACAAAUGCCCUACGUGCUCACCCCAGCCCCCAGUAAGAGAUCCCACCCUGCAAGUGCACUCCCAGCACCUCAGAGUCUCCCACUCUAAAGCAACUCUGAUGUGAGCGGGGGCAAGAAUCUGAAAGAGGGUUUGCACUGACUCUACAAUGAAGAGACUCCAACAAAAAUGAGGUCUUAAGUAACGGUAAAAAAAUAAUAAUAAUAAAUAAAGUGAAUAAAUAACGAGG